rnacentral:rRNA from 1 species
GAUGAACGCUGGCGGCGUGCCUAAUACAUGCAAGUCGAGCGAACAGACGAGGAGCUUGCUCCUCUGACGUUAGCGGCGGACGGGUGAGUAACACGUGGAUAACCUACCUAUAAGACUGGGAUAACUUCGGGAAACCGGAGCUAAUACCGGAUAAUAUAUUGAACGGCAUGGUUCAAUAGUGAAAGACGGUUUUGCUGUCACUUAUAGAUGGAUCCGCGCCGCAUUAGCUAGUUGGUAAGGUAACGGCUUACCAAGGCAACGAUGCGUAGCCGACCUGAGAGGGUGAUCGGCCACACUGGAACUGUGACACGGUCCAGACUCCUACGGGAGGCAGCAGUAGGGAAUCUUCCGCAAUGGGCGAAAGCCUGACGGAGCAACGCCGCGUGAGUGAUGAAGGUCUUCGGAUCGUAAAACUCUGUUAUUAGGGAAGAACAAAUGUGUAAGUAACUAUGCACGUCUUGACGGUACCUAAUCAGAAAGCCACGGCUAACUACGUG